AGAGUUUGAUCAUGGCUCAGGAUGAACGCUAGCGGCAGGCUUAACACAUGCAAGUCGAGGGGUAUCCGUUUUCGGACGGAGAGACCGGCGCACGGGUGCGUAACGCGUAUGCAACCUACCUUUUACAGGGGAAUAGCCCAGAGAAAUUUGGAUUAAUGCCCCAUGGUAUAUUUUUAGGGCAUCCUAAGGAUAUUAAAGUUCCAACGGUAAAAGAUGGGCAUGCGUCCUAUUAGCUAGAUGGUAAGGUAACGGCUUACCAUGGCUACGAUAGGUAGGGGUCCUGAGAGGGAGAUCCCCCACACUGGUACUGAGACACGGACCAGACUCCUACGGGAGGCAGCAGUGAGGAAUAUUGGACAAUGGGCGCAAGCCUGAUCCAGCCAUGCCGCGUGCAGGAAGACGCAUCUAUGGUGUGUAAACUGCUUUUGUACGGGAAGAAACACCUCUACGUGUAGAGGCUUGACGGUACCGUAAGAAUAAGGAUCGGCUAACUCCGUGCCAGCAGCCGCGGUAAUACGGAGGAUCCAAGCGUUAUCCGGAAUCCUUGGGUUUAAAGGGUCC
rnacentral:rRNA from 1 species